ensembl:lncRNA
UGCUGCCCUCAAAUCAGCUGUGCAAGCAGUUGGAGUUUGUGUAUCACUAGAGUCUCCAAAGUCACAUUAAAUUGGAGUUUGUGUAUCACUAGAGUCCCCAAAGUGACAUUAAAUUGGAGUUUGUGUAUCACUAGAGUUUACAAAGUCACAUUAAAUUGGAGUUUUUGUAUCAUUAAAGUCUACAAAGUCACAUUAAAUUGGCGUUUGUGUAUCACUAGAGUCCCCAAAGUGACAUUAAAUUGGAGUUUGUGUAUCAUUAGAGUCCCCAAAGUGACAUUAAAUUGGAGUUUGUGUAUCACUAGAGUCUCUAAAGUGACAUUAAAUUGGAGUUUGUGUAUAACUAGUCUACAAAGUCACAUUAAAUUGGAGUUUGUGUAUUACUAGUCACCAAAGUGACAUUAAAAUGGAGUUUGUGUAUCACUAGAGUCUACAAAGUCACAUUAAAUUGGAGUUUGUGUAUCACUAGAGUCUACAAAGUCACAUUAGAUUGGAGUUUGUGUAUCACUAGAGUCUACAAAGUCACAUUAAUUUGGAGUUUGUGUGUCACCACUGUAUUCCAAACAUUGAAGUCAUUCACUUGACAAUUUAAGUAAUUUUUAUUUGUAUAGAACUUUUUACAAUCAUCAGAAAGUCAUGUCUUAAAUGUUUUAUGGAUAGUAUUUUUGAAAAUAAAUACAAAUUGAACUAGAGAGGUGCAGGCAGUUGUCAUGGCAUGAUUCUUUGCCAUAGAGACACUUGUUUUUAAAGUAAUAAAUAUUACUGUUCCGUGAUCUUCAUUAGGCAUUUCCCUGGGGCUGAAAUGUUUUAUAUUUUUGUUGAAAUCAUGAACAGGAUCCCUUUUUUUUUAUUGUUUAUUGGCAGUGGCCUACAUCUUGUGCUCCUAUUAAUGACAAUGCAGGUGUGAUGGCCUAAUUGUUAAAAGUAACCAAUCAUAAAUGAGUAGGAAAAAAAAAUUUUCAAUUCUCUUAAGACAGUUAUGCAGUGGAAAAGCUUACCAAUCCAUAACCAUCAAAUAGGAAAAAACAACUUUACCAUGUCAAACGUUUACGUCAUCUUCCAAUAUUUGAACUUGGAAUUGUACUUCUGUUUCUAAUUAGCAUAAAUUAUAUGUAUCUUCUAAAAGUCCUUAAAGUAUAUCACAACCAGAGAUUGUGUAUCAACAUAGUCCUCAAAGUUUCACUUGAUAAGAGUUUGUGUUUGUCCUCAAAUUGGACAUAAAAAAUACUGUCCCCAAAGUGAGGUAAAAAGUCAGGUCUGUAAAGAAGGUUUUAAUUGAAAAUAUCAAGUGAUAUUUGUACUGAAGGCUUCAUCUGUAGUGCAGUUAUAUCUUUCUCUUGUCUCUAGACCAUUCAGAAAGGGAUGUACCCAAAGGUAGGGUGUUCAGUCAUAGGUCCUCAUUGGGGGGUUAAGCAGGUAUGUGUGUGUGUGUGUGUGUGUGUGUGUGUGAGAGAGAGUGAGUGAGUGUGUGUGUGUGUGUGUGUGAGUGAGUGAGUGAGUGAGUGAGUGUGUGUGUGUGUGUGAGUGAGUGAGUGAGUGAGUGAGUGUGUGUGUGUGUGUGUGUGUGUGUGUGAGUGUGUGUGUGUGUGUGUGUGUGUGUGUGUGUGUGCGUGCGUGCGUGUGUGCGUGUGUGCGUGUGUGUGUACUUGUUUAUGCUACAUUGAAGGGACCAAAUGUCCCCACAAGGAUAGUAAAACCUGAAAUUUCUGACAUUGUGUGGAACAGGAUUUGCAUGUGUGUAUGUGUUUCUGUGAAUUGUGGGGACUUUCCAUAGACUUCUAUUACUUCAAUGUUUUUUUUGGUUUUUUUUAGUUCAGAUCGGGCAUUUUCUUGUUGGAUAAACAUCUAUAAGAUCUAUGUUUCCACACUUAAAAAGAAAAGUCUUUGAAGACCAAGAUUCAUAGAGUUAAUGUUUUAAAAGUUUUUAAUUUUGAUAAGAGCACAGGGGAGAAAAGAUGUCCAGAAGGAAAAGAUUGAAAUGUUAUGCUUUGAAGUUCAUCCUAAAGUGUUCCUUUUCCCUCACAUCACUUAGUCAUUUAGUGCUUUGUGAAAGACUAUGUAAAACACAGGCCUUGAUUUGUGUUUCUUUCGGUGAGUGCUCUAAAUAAUCAUCCCGUUAACUUUUUGUCCUAAGAAUGUGUAUAUGAUUUUUUUUUUUUGUGAAAUGAUUGAUUGCAGUACUCCAAAGUUGUCUAUACAAGAAAACACACACUGAGGGUUGUUGUUUUUUCUCAACUCAAAUGCUGGGUUGAGUCUGUUAUGUAAGAAAGCUGGAUAAAUUCUCUCCAAAUUAGGUUGAUAAAUGUUCAUAAUCAGAAAACCAAUAAUGCUGGGUUCAAGUUCCAGCUAUCCCACUGCACCUAUAAUUCUGCGGUGCUCCUGACAGGAAUAUGUGUGGAAAAUAUAAGAAAACUAAUCGAAGUGGAGAGGACAGAAAUCUUCAAAACUGCCCAUGAGCGAGGAGUGUGUUCUUUUAAAAUGAGGGUUUUGUCGCACCAGAAUCAAUCAAGCGAUGGCCAGACAGAGGGAACUGAAAAGGCCAGAAUUGUGCUUGAGAGGAGUGAUUAAAAACAUGUUCAGUUGACAAUAAUGCACAGUUUAUUCCAGACUUUCAGUGUUUACAUUGCAUGUUUUCAGUCUGUGUUUCUUGGCUUAAAAUCUGACACGGUUGCCAUAGUGGGACUAUUUUUGUUGGCUGAAGAGAAAUCAAAAAUAAAAUGAAAAAACUGGUCAAAUUUGCCAGCAAUGGACAACAUAAUAUUCUCACACUAUUAUUCUAGCCUGAUCAUUUUUUUUUUUUUUUUAUUAAAAUAUCUUAAUAUAUCUACAAUGAUGCAUCCUUAUGCUUUGCCGCAGGAUGUACACACAACUGCGUGUACAUUUUCUGUAAUCUUUGCAAGAAUAUAACAUGUAACACAUAUCUUAAGCAACAUACUGAAGAUUUCGAUGCAAUGUGUGUUACAUGACUAAACAUGCGGCAUUGUUUUCG